AGAGUUUGAUCCUGGCUCAGAGUGAACGCUGGCGGCAGGCCUAACACAUGCAAGUCGAACGGCAGCGGGUCAGUAGCAAUACUGAUGCCGGCGAGUGGCGGACGGGUGAGGAAUACAUCGGAAUCUACCUUGUCGUGGGGGAUAACGUAGGGAAACUUACGCUAAUACCGCAUACGAACUACGGUUGAAAGCGGCGGACUCGCAAGAGCGUCGCGCGAUUGGAUGAGCCGAUGUCCGAUUAGCUAGUUGGCGGGGUAAAGGCCCACCAAGGCGACGAUCGGUAGCUGGUCUGAGAGGAUGAUCAACCACACUGGAACUGAGACACGGUCCAGACUCCUACGGGAGGCAGCAGUGGGGAAUAUUGGACAAUGGGCGCAAGCCUGAUCCAGCCAUGCCGCGUGUGUGAAGAAGGCCUUCGGGUUGUAAAGCACUUUUGUUGGGGAAGAAAAGACACCGGUUAAUACCCGGGGUUUCUGACGGUACCCAAAGAAUAAGCACCGGCUAACUUCGUGCCAGCAGCCGCGGUAAUACGAAGGGUGCAAGCGUUACUCGGAAUUACUGGGCGUAAAGCGUGCGUAGGUGGUGAGUUAAGUCUGUCGUGAAAGCCCCGGGCUCAACCUGGGAAUGGCGAUGGAUACUGGCUCGCUAGAGUGCGGUAGAGGAGAGUGGAAUUCCCGGUGUAGCAGUGAAAUGCGUAGAGAUCGGGAGGAACAUCAGUUGCGAAGGCGGCUCUCUGGACCAGCACUGACACUGAGGCACGAAAGCGUGGGGAGCAAACAGGAUUAGAUACCCUGGUAGUC
rnacentral:rRNA from 1 species